rnacentral:rRNA from 1 species
UACGAAGGGGGGCUAGCGUUGCUCGGAAUCACUGGGCGUAAAGGGCGCGUAGGCGGCUUAACAAGUCACUUGUGAAAUCUCCGGGCUUAACUCGGAACGGCCAAGUGAAACUGUCAAGCUAGAGUGCGGAAGGGGCAAUCGGAAUUCCUGGUGUAGCGGUGAAAUGCGCAGAUAUCAGGAAGAACACCCGUGGCGAAGGCGGUUCUCUGGGACGGUACUGACGCUGAGACGUGAAAGCGUGGGGAGCGAACAGG